GACGAACGCUGGCGGCGUGCUUAACACAUGCAAGUCGAGCGGUAAGGCCCUUUCGGGGGUACGACGAGCGGCGAACGGGUGAGUAACACGUGGGUGACCUGCCCUCAGCUCUGGGAUAAGCCUGGGAAACCGGGUCUAAUACUGGAUAUGACUCCAUGACGCAUGUUGUGGGGUGGAAAGCCUUGUGCGGCUGAGGAUGGGCCCGCGGCCUAUCAGCUUGUUGGUGGGGUGAUGGCCUACCAAGGCGACGACGGGUAGCCGGCCUGAGAGGGCGACCGGCCACACUGGGACUGAGACACGGCCCAGACUCCUACGGGA
rnacentral:rRNA from 1 species